rnacentral:rRNA from 1 species
GGGGGGGGGGGGGGGCGGGGGGGGGGGGGGGGGGGCGGGCGGAGGGGCGCGGCGGGGGGGGGGUGCUGGGGUGGCGAACGGGGGGGUAACACGUGAGUAGCCUGCCCUUGACGUUGGGAUAACUUCAGGAAACUGGGGCUAAUACCGGAUAGGAGCUCCUGCUGCAUGGGGGGGGUUGGAACGUUUCGGCGGUUGGGGAUGGGCGCGCGGCUUAUCAGCUUGUUGGUGGGGUAGUGGCUUACCAAGGCUUUGACGGGUAGCCGGCCUGAGAGGGUGACCGGCCACAUUGGGACUGAGAUACGGCCCAGACUCCUACGGGAGGCAGCAGUGGGGAAUAUUGCACAAUGGGCGGAAGCCUGAUGCAGCAACGCCGCGUGCGGGAUGACGGCCUUCGGGUUGUAAACCGCUUUCGCCUGUGACGAAGCGUGAGUGACGGUAAUGGGUAAAGAAGCACCGGCUAACUACGUG